AGCAGCCGCGGUAAUUCCAGCUCCAAUAGCGUAUAUUAAAGUUGUUGCAGUUAAAAAGCUCGUAGUUGAAUUUCGGGAUCAGUACGCCGGUCGUGCCUUCGGUAUGCACUGGUGUCACUGGUUUCUCCCUUCUGAAGAACCAUCAUGCCAUUCAGUUGGUGUGGCGGGGAAUCAGGACUGUUACUUUGAAAAAAUUAGAGUGUUUAAAGCAGGCUCGCGCUUGAAUACAUUAGCAUGGAAUAAUGGAAUAGGACGUUUGACCCUAUUUUGUUGGUUUCUAGGAUCGACGUAAUGAUUAAUAGGGAUAGUUGGGGGCAUUAGUAUUCAAUUGUCAGAGGUGAAAUUCUUGGAUUUAUUGAAGACUAACUACUGCGAAAGCAUUUGCCAAGGAUGUUUUCAUUAAUCAAGAACGAAAGUUAGGGGAUCGAAGACGAUCAGAUACCGUCGUAGUCUUAACCAUAAACUAUGCCGACUAGGGAUCGGAUGAUGUUAAUUUUUUUCAAUGACUCAUUCGGCGCCU
rnacentral:misc_RNA from 1 species